UAAGUCACUUAAAGAUUUACAGGAGAG
rnacentral:piRNA from 1 species